CACCUGGGAGGGGCUGAAAGGCAGGCCCUUCCCCAGACAUUCUGACUCCCUGGGUCUGGAGUGGGCUCCAGACACUGAGUUUUUUAUGAAGCUAGGUUCUUGUGCUGGGGUCCCCAGGACCAUACUUUUUAAGGAACCCCGGCCUAUAGCAGCCUCUGGCGAGAGGCCAGCCAAGAGCAGGACCAGCACCUCUUUGGGCCACAGGCCUCCUUUCUCACAUCCAGGUGCGAGGAGGGCAGGCGUUGGAGGCCACAUGGAGCUUAGUGUAGCCACACUCCCAGAGGAAGCCACUCCCCAGCAUGCACUACGUACUGGAUGUACCAUUUCUGGAUGUUCCAGGACUGCGUGAGGACUUUCCGUAGACUCUGGGUUAAGAAAUACGACUCUAGAAGUUUCCUUGUUUUGCAGCUGAGGUGUUGGUGCCGGCACAUGGUGGAGCCUUGCCAGACACUUGUUGACUUGCACUUGUGAGAAACCCUGGAGUUGCAUAAGAGGAAGCACAUCUGUGUCCCCACGGCAGCCCAGACAGCAGCUCGGUCCCUGAGAGCAGAGGCCCAGCUCCCUGCCUGCAUCUGCGGGGCCUGGGAGUCAUGGGGGAGGCAGCGACAGCGCUGGGGGUUCCUGGAGAGGAUUUCCUCUGCCUUUUACCCUUCCCUUUGGGAAGGAGCUGCUGCCAUGAGGAGCAGGCAGGGCAGGUUCCUGGAAUCUCCAGGUGGGUCCCAGCCCUCUUCCUGGCUCCUGCCAGAAUGCCUACAGCCCACUUCCAACCUGGCAUGGAGGACAGCAGAGGGUGGGCACGGAGAGGCUGACUUGAGUGUGGGGCUUCCUUCCUACUUUGCUUCCAGGAUCCAGGUUUGUUUUGCAAAUGUUGGUUUCUCACUCCAGCUAAUUUUAUGGAGCCGAUCCGGCCCCCAAGGAGGACUGGAAGAGAAAUACUGCUUUUGAUUUCCUGUCUCUCCUGGCGUCUUGCUGCCCAGGGCCGCUUCAAGGUCGCAUAGCUGCUUCCGUGACAGGAGUUCCCCCUUUUGUGGAGUGCGCCCCUGUGCUGGUGUUGGGGAUACAGGACCCCACCGACGUCCUGGGCCCUGACUGCUAUGCAGAGCUGAUGCUGAGCCCUGCUAGGUGCCAGGGAGUGGUUCUGUCAAAGUUAGAAUUCAUUGCCAACAUUCAAAUCUCCAGAUUUUCAGCCUCUCUUUAAAAAUAGAAGGCUCCAGGCCAGGUAGUUGGGAGCUCAGAGGUGGCUGCUCUGUGGACCGAGCCUGGCUUCCUGCGGCGCUACCUCCCCACACACCAGGAGGCACCUGAGUCCAGGAGGCCCUAGAGCAGUCUUACCAGGAGCAAGAUGGAAGCAUCCAGAAUAUCACUUGGUCCCCCACCCCUCUUUCCGAGUGGCCUGGAGGGGCAGAUAACCCUGAGGCUCUGACGCUGCCAGGCGGCCGGCACUCCUAGCGCACUCACACUUCACCCGCGGUGCAAAGAAUUCCCAGCCUGGUAACAAUGCCGCUUCGCACAUCAGGAGAAGAUUCCGAGAGCCUCAGGAUGGCUCUAAAAUGCCACUUUGUAUGUCACUGAGCACCUUGGAGAUUUCCUGUGAGGCCAGUUACAGGGGUAAAGGACAUGCCACCCCACACGCUCUGUAUUUCCUGAUGAUGGAGUCACUGGCCGGGCUGGAAUGGCGCCUCUCCCUACCCCUCAUUGACAAUGUCUGUCCCACUUGCAAGAAGAAAGAAUACGGGAAGGUCAAGCUCUCCACACCCUGGCAGUCUGCUGGACCAUCCACCCCCGCCUUUUCCAGAGGACGUGUGAUGUUGGGACGAAGCCCAUGCCCCCUGGCAGAGGGAGGACUGUGAUGCCCCAACAGCGAGCACCAGAAAUGACAGGCUCACUGGGGACACGGCAGAUAGGUCCCCGCACGUGCACACGGUGGGCGCACACUCCAUCCCGUCCCCCCUCAGCCUCUGCGCUCCUCGAAAUGAGAUUUCUGAAAAUUUUGUCCUCAGGACCAAUAGGCGAAUGAGAGUUGAAUGGUGAGAUCGGGAAAUUGAAUAGUAUGUGGGUGUCUGGAUAUGAGAAGUUAAAUCUAAUGAAAAUUUCAUCCAGUUGAACCAAGAAAUCAGAAACAGGGCCUUUAUUCCUGUCAACAAGAAUACAGUGAAAAUUAAACCAACCCGGCUGCCAUUUCCCAUUGACCUUGUCGCCAUGGAGACAGCCUUCUAGUGUCAACAACACCGAGGACUCCGAAGGGGCCUCAUUCACUCCACGAGAGGCACGUGGCUGCUCCCUCUCCCGUCCGCCUCCGGCACGUGGUUCAUAAGGAGAGCAGCCACAUGUCCAGGGUUGCUGGAGAGCAACCCAGCCUAUACCAGCACCUGGACAAAUGACCACGGCACCCUUUGUUGGCUCCCAAGAAAUUCCCCCCAAAUGCACCUCUAACCAGGCACAAAGCCUGCUGCCGUGACGAGACCAGCACAGGCCUCAGGGAAGCCCCAGCGCCCAGGCUUGGAUGCAGCGUUGCUGAGAUGUCCUCCUUGCAGCAGCCUCCCAGGUUUUCUUCCCCCUUCCUCUCCUGCUUGCUCUGAUUUUCCAAGAGCAAGUCCCCAUCAGGCCCUGCCUCCCAGUUCCUCCCAUGGGAGGCUCAAGGAUGAGUUUCUUCUGCCCUGGUCUGGGUGGCUUGGCCAAAUGAGUGACAGCUGACCUGACCCCAAAGUGAGGAAAUCCCAAGUAGGGAGCCAGGGACUCGGGAGCUUCUGCCCACGAAGGCCCCAGCCAGCAAGGCCUGGCCCCUCUGAGACAGCCCAGCAUCUGCAAAGUCAGGGAGGGCAGGAGACGAAGCUGGGCAUCAGCUUGGGAUGACAGCAUGUGGUCCAGCACCAGGACCCUGAGUUUCCUGCACAGUCACCAGCCCCUGGUGAAGGGGCCGAGGGAAACCAGACUUCCCUCCAGGAAGUGAAGUGAGUCUUGCUGCUCACGGCCAGCACCCUCUACCUCCAGAUGGGGUCGCUUUUCUCCUUUGCCCACCACCGAGCUGCUGUCCAGUCUUCCUCACCUCCUCCUAGGAGCUGGUCCUGGCAGAGCUGAGAGCCAUGCAGGUCGCCCAGUGGAAAGAGCUUGAAUCUGCAGCCCCUCUUCACCCCCUACGCACCUGCUGUGUGACCUUGGGCAAGUUACAUAACUUCUCUGAGUCUUAGUUUUGGCAUUAAUAAAAUGGGAUAAUAUA